rnacentral:rRNA from 1 species
GGCGAGUGAAGCGGCAACAGCUCAGAUUUGGAAUCUNGCNCCCNCNGGGGCCCGAGUUGUAAUCUGGAGAGGGAGCCUCUGGCGCGGCGCCCGGCGAGUCCCCUGGAACGGGGCGCCGGAGAGGGUGAGAGCCCCGUACGGCGGGCCGCCGUGCCUCUGCGAGGCCCCUUCGACGAGUCGAGUAGUUUGGGAAUGCUGCUCCAAGCGGGAGGUAAAUUUCUUCUAAAGCUAAAUACCGGCCAGAGACCGAUAGCGCACAAGUAGAGUGAUCGAAAGAUGAAAAGCACUUUGAAAAGAGGGUCAAACAGUACGUGAAAUUGUUGAAAGGGAAGCGCCCGUGGCCAGACUCGCGCCCUGCGGACCACCCGGCGGACCCCGCCGGGGCGCUCCGCGGGGCGCGGGCCAGCAUCGGCCGCUGCGGGGGGACAAGGACGGCGGGAACGUGGCCCCUCCGGGGGUGUUACAGCCCGCCGCGCCAUGCCCCCGCGGCGGCCGAGGACCGCGCUUCGGCAAGGAUGCUGGCGUAAUGGCCNNCGGCGACCCGNCUUGAAACACGGACCAAGGAGUCNAGCAUUGNGGCGAGUGUACGGGUGGCAAACCCGCGCGCGGAAUGAAAGUGAACGCAGGUGGGAGCCUCGGCGCACCANCGACCGAUCCUGNUGUUNUNGNANGGAUUUGAGUNAGAGCCCUG